rfam:Oryza glumipatula chromosome 7, whole genome shotgun sequence.
AAAAAGACAAACCCUUAGUUUCCGUGUCCAACUUUGACCAUCCGUCUUAUAUGAAAUUUUUUUAUAAUUCGUAUUUUCAUUGUUUUUAGAUGAUAAAACAUGAUUAAUAUUUUAUGUGUGACUUGUCUUUUUAAUUUUUUACAUAAUUUUUUUAAAUAAGACAGACGGUCAAACGUUGGACACGGAAACCAAGGUUUGUCUUUUUU